rnacentral:rRNA from 1 species
GAAGAAAGCUGGCGGCGUGCUUAACACAUGCAAGUCGAACGGAAAGGCCCUGCUUGCAGGGUACUCGAGUGGCGAACGGGUGAGUAACACACGGGUGAUCUGCCCUCCACUUCGGGAUAAGCCUGGGAGACUGUGGCGAAUACCGGAGAGGAGCCAUUUUUAGUGUGAUGGUUGGAAAGUUUUUUCGGUGUGGGAUGAGCUCGCUGCCUAUCUGCUUGCUGGUUGGGUAAUGGCCUACCCAGGCGGUGACGGGUGGCCAGCCCGGGUGGGUGGACGGCCACCAUGGGAACGAGGUAAGGCACCGGCUCCCAAGGGAGGGAAACGGGGGGAAUACUGACCAAUGGGCGCCAGGCUGGUGCAGCGACGCCGCGUGGCGGAUGACGGCCUUCGGGUUGUAAACCCCUUUCGCUAGGGACGAAGCUUUUUGUGACGGUACCUAGAUAAGAAGCACCGGCUAACUACGUG